rnacentral:rRNA from 1 species
AGUGAACGCUGGCGGUAGGCCUAACACAUGCAAGUCGAACGGCAGCACAGUAAGAGCUUGCUCUUACGGGUGGCGAGUGGCGGACGGGUGAGGAAUACAUCGGAAUCUACUUUUUCGUGGGGGAUAACGUAGGGAAACUUACGCUAAUACCUCAUACGACCUACGGGUGAAAGCAGGGGAUCUUCGGACCUUGCGCGAUUGAAUGAGCCGAUGUCGGAUUAGCUAGUUGGCGGGGUAAAGGCCCACCAAGGCGACGAUCCGUAGCUGGUCUGAGAGGAUGAUCCGCCACACUGGAACUGAGACACUGUCCAGACUCCUACGGGAGGCAGCAGUGGGGAAUAUUGGACAAUGGGCGCAAGCCUGAUCCAGCCAUACCGCGUGGGUGAAGAAGGCCUUCGGGUUGUAAAGCCCUUUUGUUGGGAAAGAAAAGCAGCAGGUUAAUACCCCGCUGUUCUGACGGUACCCAAAGAAUAAGCACCGGCUAACUUCGUG